rnacentral:rRNA from 1 species
UACGUAGGGACCAAGCGUUGUUCGGAUUUACUGGGCGUAAAGGGCGCGUAGGCGGCAAUUCAAGUCAGCUGUGAAAUCUCCGGGCUUAACUCGGAACGGUCAGCUGAUACUGCUUUGCUAGAGUGCAGAAGGGGCAAUCGGAAUUCUUGGUGUAGCGGUGAAAUGCGUAGAUAUCAGUCGGAACACCGGUGGCGAAGGCGGGCUUCUUGGGCCGUUUCUGACGCUGAGGCGGCGAAAGC